GGCCGGGAUCCCGCGGCAGCCCGAGCGUCCCAGGCGUCGAGCAGGCCCAGCCUCUAAAGCCAGACUUUGGGGCCCGGCGGCUGGGCGGAGCAGCGUGACCCCGGGCGUGACCCCGGUCCCCGCAGGGAGCCUGCUUCUGCCUGUGCCUGGGUCCUCUGCCUCUCGGUGUGUGUCUCUCAUGAUUAAUAAAUAAAAUCUAAAAAUAAAUAAGUAAAUAAAGUCAGACUUUGGUUGCCAGGGCAGGUCACCUGGGCGCUGGCACCCGCAGGUCAAGGGGUCACGGCCGCGCCUGGCAGCCACAGGCCCCAAGGACCUCCGGGCUGCUGCGGCCGCCAGGUGGGCAACGCGACGACACUGCAGGAAGAGGAAACGUUGGUCUGGGGAGCUGUUGGAGAGUUUAAGACCUGGGAGGCAAACGCUCUGAGUAGCUGGCCCGCCGCGUGGAGAAUGUGCAGAAGACACUCCUCAGUAAACUGGUAUCAAGAAAUAAAAAACAAAGAGUAUACAAGAAUGAGAAUAUAGAAGAGCAAGGUUGGGAAAGGAAGACACCUACCAUAACACCUUUUUCCACUGAAGGAGGCUCCCUACCUCCUGUGGUCGACUUAACGCCCAGUUACAGGAUGGCCUUGAAGACAAUAACGAUGGAAGAUCCUUUCAGUAGACAGAGCUUAAAGCAGUGUGCUUGAUUCAUUUUUCCUGGAAGAAGAGAUGCCAGAGUUAGAGAUCAACAGAUAUUCAUAAGCAAGCCAUGAUUCGCCAGUCCAAGAGUUAAAGGGUGUCUUUCUUACUCUCAGCCCCUGUAAAAAUGUUUGUUUCCUAUCCAUGCAACUCUGAACUUUAAUGGGUCUUAGAGGUUCUAGUUCCCAAGGGGAAAUAAUUCCAUUAGGGGAUAAACCAAUAGUUUCAUUAAACUUAGAAUUGAAACUUCAAAUA